rnacentral:rRNA from 1 species
AUUGAACGCUGGCGGCAGGCCUAACACAUGCAAGUCGAACGGUAACAGGAAGCAGCUUGCUGCUUUGCUGACGAGUGGCGGACGGGUGAGUAAUGUCUGGGAAUCUGCCCGAUGGAGGGGGAUAACUACUGGAAACGGUAGCUAAUACCGCAUAACGUCGCAAGACCAAAGAGGGGGACCUUAGGGCCUCUUGCCAUCGGAUGUGCCCAGAUGGGAUUAGCUAGUAGGUGGGGUAACGGCUCACCUAGGCGACGAUCCCUAGCUGGUCUGAGAGGAUGACCAGCCACACUGGAACUGAGACACGGUCCAGACUCCUACGGGAGGCAGCAGUGGGGAAUAUUGCACAAUGGGCGCAAGCCUGAUGCAGCCAUGCCGCGUGUAUGAAGAAGGCCUUCGGGUUGUAAAGUACUUUCAGCGGGGAGGAAGGGAGUAAAGUUAAUACCGUUGCUCAUUGACGUUACCCGCAGAAGAAGCACCGGCUAACUCCGUG